rnacentral:rRNA from 1 species
UGGGGAAUUUUGGACAAUGGGCGCAAGCCUGAUCCAGCCAUGCCGCGUGUCUGAAGAAGGCCUUCGGGUUGUAAAGGACCUUUGUCAGGGAAGAAAAGGCUGUUGCUAAUAUCGACAGCUGAUGACGGUACCUGAAGAAUAAGCACCGGCUAACUACGUGCCAGCAGCCGCGGUAAUACGUAGGGUGCGAGCGUUAAUCGGAAUUACUGGGCGUAAAGCGAGCGCAGACAGUUACUUAAGCAGGAUGUGAAAUCCCCGGGCUCAACCUGGGAACUGCGUUCUGAACUGGGUGACUAGAGUGUGUCAGAGGGAGGUAGAAUUCCACGUGUAGCAGUGAAAUGCGUAGAGAUGUGGAGGAAUACCGAUGGCGAAGGCAGCCUCCUGGGAUAACACUGACGUUCAUGCUCGAAAGCGUGGGUAGCAAACAGGAUUAGAUACCCUGGUAGUCCACGCCCUAAACGAUGUCAAUUAGCUGUUGGGCAACUUGAUUGCUUAGUAGCGUAGCUNACGCGUGAAAUUGACCGCCUGGGGAGUACGGUCGCAAGAUUA